rnacentral:rRNA from 1 species
CCUACGGGAGGCAGCAGUGGGGAAUCUUGCGCAAUGGGCGAAAGCCUGACGCAGCCAUGCCGCGUGAAUGAUGAAGGUCUUAGGAUUGUAAAAUUCUUUCACCGGGGACGAUAAUGACGGUACCCGGAGAAGAAGCCCCGGCUAACUUCGUGCCAGCAGCCGCGGUAAUACGAAGGGGGCUAGCGUUGCUCGGAAUUACUGGGCGUAAAGGGAGCGUAGGCGGAUAGUUUAGUCAGAGGUGAAAGCCCAGGGCUCAACCUUGGAAUUGCCUUUGAUACUGGCUAUCUUGAGUAUGGGAGAGGUUAGCGGAACUCCGAGUGUAGAGGUGAAAUUCGUAGAUAUUCGGAAGAACACCAGUGGCGAAGGCGGCUAACUGGCCCAUUACUGACGCUGAGGCUCGAAAGCGUGGGGAGCAAACAGGAUUAGAUACCCUGGUAGUCCACGCCGUAAACGAUGAGUGCUAGUUGUCGGCAUGCAUGCAUGUCGGUGGUACGCGACGCUAACGACAUUAAGUACACCUCCGCCGUCGGGGAGGUACGGUCCGGCGAAGAAUUAAAACUUAAAAUUAAGUAAGUUAGUACGGCGUGAGACGUCGCCGAACGGACGACCGACCGAGGGGAGGUUAGG